AAUAAAAUGGUGUGGCCUCUACGUUAUUCCAUCUAAGAAAGGUGUUAUGGUCUGGUCAUUUCCUCCCUCCUCAUUACAUCCUGCUCUAUUGCCACUCUCCAGCAGGUCCUACAUGUAUUUUACUUUGACCACCAAACUCUUUGCCCCAUAUUCCACCUAGUGGGCAAGUUCCGGCACUGGCUAAAAUCAACCCACCUGCUCCCAUUUAUGAUGGGGGCAAUAAUGUGUUAUAUAUUGCUAUAUAUCAUUAUAACAACCACAUUUACUUCCUUUGAAUAUUGAUGUAUAAUUUAUGAAUCAAUAAUAAUGUUGUCGAUUUUUGAUUGUAUGUAUUGAAAUAUACUGAAUACAUAUGUUUGUACAUAUAGUGUAAACCCUACAUUUUUCAUUUUAUUGGUAAAUAUGUUGUAUAUAAUUUUUUAUUUUGGCUUGGGUCUCUGGCUUGGCAAUUUUUCCUUUCUGGGUUCACCUAUAUGUGGGACUAGCUUGAGCCCUAAUUAGUUCUGGAGGUAAUGCACAUCCUUCCCAAUAAGCCACUACAGCCCUUUUCCAUACAUCAGCCCAUUCACAUCCCUGUUCAGGGUCUCUCUCCCCUUCUUAUUAGUGAUUUUUUGUUUGUCUUAAUUCUUUAGUAUAUUAUGACUUUUACAACAUAUGAUCUACUGCUUUUGCUUUCAUGUUUGAUUGCUUGGUUUGCCUUGAUCAGUCAGCUUGCGGUCAUGGUCCACGCCGCUCUGUGUAUGUGUGACUGUUUUGGUGCUGCUGGCUGGCAAUCGCUCUCUUUUAGUGCUCUGUGUUCCUCCCCUCUGCACUCAUACGUUUCCUUCCUUUUUUCCUUUUUCUCCAGAGUGCGGCUCCGCUGAUUGGCCGGUGUCAUCAUAUGACACGGCUGCUUCAGCGCUAAGGAGUGUGGGAAUUGUAGGCAUCUCAGCGACCAUGUGACCUCUGAGAUCCAAUCGCGAUGCACCCGCCUCCCCAACAGGCUAUAUAUAGCAUGAUAUGAUCAUUAUCUGUCUGCUACCAACAGGGUACUGACAGAUGUCUUUAUUCCUCUUAAAGAUAGGAGAUUAUCUGUGGACUUUUCAGCUGCAACUGACUGGUCCUUGAUUUUUGCUGCAAACGACUAUCCUUUGACUUUCUAUCACCAGCUGAUGUUUGCUUGCACUCAGACUGUUCAUCUAGUUAAAUACUCCAUAUGAAUUGAGGCUCUUCAGUGCCCAUGUUAUUGUCUUACUUAAUUCCCCUGUAUUCACCUUGAUUUUAUCACGCUUCAAGUCCUGUCAGUUGAACUUGGAUUUCAAUAUCCACCCUGAGGGGGUUUUUCCUUGACUGGCUGUGCAUGAAGCUAGGAGUAAUCUAGAGAGACGAUCUUGUCCUAAUUCCCCUGAAGAAGCCAAGAGGCGAAACUAGUAGGGUCGACCUGAUCGAAAAAAUUAUUUCUAGAUCUUGCUC